GCAGCGGUGUCUCAGUGGUUAAGGCUCAGGUUAUUGAUCAGAUGGUUGUAGGUUCGAACCCCAGCACUGCUGCC